UUUCCGUAGGUGAACCUGCGGAAGGAUCAUUGUCGAAUCCUGCAAUAGCAGAAUGACCCGCUAACACGUCAACAAUUAGGGCGAGCAUCGGGGGACCUUGGUCUCCUGUUUGCGAAUCCCUGGUAGGUGGCCACUCCCGGGUGGCCACUGGCCUGCAAAAUCAUUCGGGCGCGGAAUGCGCCAAGGAUCUUAAAACUGAAUUGUACGUCCGUAUCCCGUUAACGGGCUCCGGCGUCUUUCCAAAACACAACGACUCUCGACAACGGAUAUCUCGGCUCUC
rnacentral:misc_RNA from 1 species